CCCUUAGAUGUUCUGGGCUGCACGCGUGCUACACUGAUAUUGCCAAUAUGUCCUUCUUAUCCGAAAUGGAUUGGGUAAUCAAGUAAUGAAAUUUCAUGCUUGGAAUCGGUAAUUGCAAUUUUAUCGUGAACGAGGAAUUCCUAGUAAGCACUAGUCAUCAGCUAAUGUUGAUUAUGUCCCUGCCCUUUGUACACACCGCCCGUCGCUACUACUGAUUGGGUGUUCAAGUGAGAUGCUUAGACCCUUGUUGCAUGGUUCAUUAUUGUGCUCCGAAAGGAAAAAGUUUCAAGCUUGAGUGUCUAGAGGAAGUAAAAGUCGUAACA
rnacentral:rRNA from 1 species